rnacentral:sRNA from 12 species
CCCGGGCUUGCCGGGCCGCGUGAGCGGAUAAGCAAGAAGCGGAUUUGUCGGAUAGUGCCGCUUUUCAUCAAAACACCGACUGUC